UAUUCUAUCCAAUAUUAUAUUUGAUAUUAACCUUUCCCCCGCAAGAAUCCUACUAUUUAAGAACUUACCCACUUCCAGAGAAUUCAACAUACACAUUAUCAGAUAUCUACACUGUUACUGCAUCCAAAAAAGAUCGAGAAAACCAGAGAAAAUAAAGAGAGGAGAAAAACAAAAACAUCACAAAAGACAAAAAAAAAAAGAAAUAGGUUGAUGUUCGGUUUCUUUUGGAGUUUCCGGUUACAGUGUUCGAACUGCUGUUUUAAUUCAUCAUCAGAUUAACCUUUCCAUUCAGAGGCAAACCCAUGAUUUGAAGUCUGGGGGUACACCAGUAUUGUCAAAGGCGCGCAUAUGUUCUGAAUAAAGACUCAAAUUUGUGUUGAUUGCUUGCCUCAUUUAAUGUGCAAUUUAGGUUCUAAUUUAUAAGAUUUACUUUCAAUGAGGCUUUUCUGGAGAUACGAACACUAAACAAUUGAUAUUUCACUUAAUAAAAAAAAUAAUUUCUGUGUUCA